ensembl:snRNA U2 U2 spliceosomal RNA
AUCGCCUCUCUGCCUUUUGGCUAAGAUCAAGUGUAGUAUCUGUUCUUAUCAGUUUAAUAUCUGAUCCGUCCUCUAUCUGAGGACAAUAUAUUAAAUGGAUUUUUGGAGCAGGGGGAUGGAAUAGGAGCUUGCUCCAUCCACUCCAUGUAUCAACCUGGUAUUGCAGUACUUCCAGGAAUGGCACACCCCCU